GGCGGACGGGUGAGUAAUACGUAGGAAUCUACCCUAGAGUGGGGGAUAACCCGGGGAAACUCGGGCUAAUACCGCAUAGUCUCUACGGAGUAAAGGUGGCUAGCAAUAGCUAUCGCUAUGGGAUGAGCCUACGCCGGAUUAGCUAGUUGGUAGGGUAAAAGCCUACCAAGGCGACGAUCCGUAGCUGGUCUGAGAGGACGACCAGCCACACUGGGACUGAGAUACGGCCCAGACUCCUACGGGAGGCAGCAGUGGGGAAUAUUGGACAAUGGGCGAAAGCCUGAUCCAGCAAUGCCGCGUGUAUGAUGAAGGCCUGCGGGUUGUAAAGUACUUUCGUUGGGGAAGAAAUGCUCAAGGCUAAUAUCCUUGAGAGUUGACGUUACCCAAAGAAGAAGCACCGGCUAACUCUGUGCCAGCAGCCGCGGUAAUACAGAGGGUGCAAGCGUUAAUCGGAGUUACUGGGCGUAAAGGGCGCGUAGGUGGAUAUUUAAGUCGGAUGUGAAAUCCCCGGGCUUAACCUGGGAAUUGCAUUCGAUACUGGAUAUCUUGAGUAU
rnacentral:rRNA from 1 species